GAACAGUGAGAUCAUGACCUGAGCCAGAGCUGGAUCCUUAACAGACUGAGUGAGCCACCCAGAUUUUUUUUCUAUCUUCCACCCAAAGGAAGUAACGACUACUUCAACCCUUGCUUUGUAAUAUGCCAUUAAAUCUGUUGUUUUAAAGAAGAUUCUGUUUAUCUGGAUGCCUUGAACUUUUGACAGGAAUACAUGAAUCAAGAAUGUUUUCUUAUUGGAUAUGCUGGACUCGUGUCCCAUUUGUGCCACCAUGAACCUGUGAAUUUUGUUUUAGUAAGCUUGCUGGUGAAAGGUUUAUUUCACAGGUUGUAUAAUCCAAGCAACAUAAAUGGUAAAAGAUGUAAAAACUCCGAACUGGGCUCUCGCCUGCUCCCCGGCCCGGAGAGUAGAACUGCUGUUUCCCCGUUUGCUCUCCUGUCCAGUACAACUGAUCAAGAUUUCUUCCCUAUGAAUGUG